rnacentral:lncRNA from 1 species
ACAAUCAACUGGGAACUAAAGUUGGAAACUGUACAGAAAGUGCUAAUUAAAUAAAAUGUUACAUUUCUGUAACUCAGUUAGUGAGAUUUUCACAUUACCUUUUUUUUCCUAAGCUAUCUUGAUAAUUAAUGAAUAGAGCAGCACUCCUGCUCUUCCUCCCAUAUGUUUACUCAAACAGCAAAGUUGCCUCCUUUUAAGGAAUAGACUUCCCUUCACUGAAGUGCCCUCACUGGUGCCAGGACAACAUUUCACUUCCACUUAACUAUUUAUUUCCAAUACACGCUCAUAAAAGAACGCUUCAACUUCCCACAAUGAGUCUGCAGAAAAUUAUUUAAUAACUUCUUUGGGGAGGGAGAACGGGAGGAUUGCUGGAAAGCAACUUGCAACUCUCACCCCAAUCCCAUGUACACGGUUUGUAUUUUUACCAGCCAUAGCUGGAUGUGUGUGCAUAUAAAGUACAUGUAAGUGUGGGUAUGGAUCUCUUCGCCUGUGCCCGUGUUUGCGAGUGGCAGGUUUUUGUGUGUGCUUGAGUAAGAAAGGAAGACAGAACUUGNACAAUUCCACGUAUUACUGCAGUGCAAAUGCUAACUAAGCGAGUGAUGGAAGACGCACCUCGUUUCCCUCCGUCCAUUGCUUCCCCGCUUCCCAAGAUACAAAGAAGAAAGAAACGCGAGAAGGCAAAGGAACAGCCAAUGCGACAGCAAAGGAUCCUUUUCCUCCUCACACAGACUGACAUAGUUUCUGGACAUAAAAACCCACUUCGUGCUCCCACGCAAAGCCGUCGCGGCGUUUCCUAAGCCACUUCAUAAAGAGGCGAGUCAGGAGUCAGCUGUCAGCCAGUAGUCGCUGCCCCCCCCCCGUCCCGCCUGGGCGAUGCCAAAGAAGGCAAGCAGACUCUCGGCUGAGGAACUAGCUCAGGCCCGCUGGUCAAACGCCAGACGAGGAAUCCCCAGCCGCAGCCAACUAGCCAAACAUCAACCGCCGCCAUUUGUUUACUUGUCAGCCGGCAUGAGCGGCCACCGCAACUCCGUCCAGCCCAUCGACAGAGCCCUCCACCCCCGGCGGCGGCAGCGCGCCUCCUCGCCUUGCCUUCGGGGUCGCCCUGUAAAACUCACCCUUACCCUCGCUCCCCUACUCUCCUGGUGAGCGUCCAAGGCANCUUGAGGAGCGAAAGAGAGUCGCCGCCGCAGACACAAGCAGGCAGUCCCGCCCCUCUUAACAUUCGAUCCGGUUCCGGGAGGGCAACCGACAACUCCAAGUCGUGGCUCGCAGCGUUGCUUUCCGGCUCUCUUUUUCUCAAGAAGAUUCUUUCUUUCCUUGUUCCAUGCAGCGGCGGACUGAUGGGGAAACGACUUGUCGUAAAGGAGGGCGUGGCCAGGAGCCUGCGACAAUGGCGUAAAGAUAUCGAAGGCGCAGAAUUGUCUUUCUCGUCGGGACGCGAGAUAGAAAUUUAUAGAGCGACAGAAAAACUGAAGGAUGACAUCAGUUUAGCAAAGGAAACAACUGCUCAGGAAACCUGA